rnacentral:lncRNA from 1 species
GUUAAGGUUAGGGUUAUUAAAGGGUUAGGGGUAUUAAAGGGUUAAGGUUAGGGGUAUUAAAGGGUUAAGGUUAGGGGUAUUAAAGGGUUAAGGUUAGGGGUAUUAAAGGGUUAAGGUUAGGGGUAUUAAAGGGUUAAGGUUAGGGUUAUUAAAGGGUUAAGGUUAGGGGGUAUUAAAGGGUUAAGGUUAGGGUUAUUAAAGGGUUAAGGUUAGGGUUAUUAAAGGGUUAAGGUUAGGGUUAUUAAAGGGUUAAGGUUAGGGGUAUUAAAGGGUUAAGGUUAGGGUUAUUAAAGGGUUAGGGUUAUUAAAGGGUUAAGGUUAGGGUUAUUAAAGGGUUAAGGUUAUUAAAGGGUUAAGGUUAGGGUUAUUAAAGGGUUAAGGUUAGGGUUAUUAAAGGGUUAAGGUUAGGGGUAUUAAAGGGUUAAGGUUAGGGGUAUUAAAGGGUUAAGGUUAGGGUUAUUAAAGGGUUAAGGUUAGGGGGAUUAAAGGGUUAAGGUUA